rnacentral:lncRNA from 1 species
CCUCUUCUAAUUCUUCCUCUCCUUUGGAGCAUCCAAAAGAUCAAGAGAAGAAGAAGUAGUUCAGCCUACAAAGAUCCUUGCGAGCUAGUACUCCUGAGGAGCCUGAUCUGCAUCGAUCUUCUUGUGAAUGAUCUGAAGAGAUCAGACACCUUUGUGCAGCUAUAAGCAACCUGAAGGAGUAUCUAUCCAUGUGCUAGAUCAGUAGAGAUCUGCAGAUUAUAGUUUGUAAUGGUUUCUGAACUUGUUAGAUCAAUUUUCAUUAGAUCU